rnacentral:rRNA from 1 species
UACGUAGGUGGCGAGCGUUGUCCGGAUUUACUGGGCGUAAAGAGCGCGCAGGCGGUCGUACAAGUCGCGUGUGAAAGCCCCCGGCUCAACUGGGGAGGGUCACGCGAUACUGUUCGACUCGAAGGCAGGAGAGGGUAGUGGAAUUCCCGGUGUAGUGGUGAAAUGCGUAGAUAUCGGGAGGAACACCAGUGGCGAAGGCGGGUCUCUGGGCCGAUACUGACGCUGAGGAGCGAAAGCGUGGGGAGCGAACAGG